GUCUGUAAAUAAUAAAAGGGGUUUUUUUUCCUGUGGUUCCAGCCUGCUUGUUGGAAGAGGGGGUUUCUCCUUGUGACUCACACAGGCUGGGAUAGAACAGUACCAUCACACAAGGACUCACACAGGCUGGGAUAGAACAGUACCAUCGGAAGGGAAACGGCAUGCAGCAAAUCCCGUGGAACAGUGCGAAGUGGCCUUUUUGAGUGGCAGUGGUGGUCUUAGGGCUAAAGUCAAGGCCGGAUCUCAGCCAAGUGCCACUGUUCAGGAUGGCCUAGAUGGGGUUUCAACCUUUGCAAUGUCAUGUUGUUGGCAACUGCGUCUCCUUUGAAUUAAAAGCUCACUUUUUGAAUUGCUUCCAAAAGACCUGAACUCUGUUUGCUUAGCAAUGAGCUUUUCUGAGCCAAAACCAGCAGAUUUGAAGUUUGUCUAGUUUGGCUUUUAUCAUCCUAUCCUGUUUACUUGCACAGCAGCCAACUGCCUUAAUUAAAUCUUUGUGUUUCCU